CAGCCGCCACGUAAUACGUAGGGUGCAAGCGUUAAUCGGAAUUACUGGGCGUAAAGCGUGCGCAGGCGGUUAUAUAAGUCAGAUGUGAAAUCCCAAGGCUCAACCUUGGAACUGCCUUUGAUACUGUUUGUCUUGAGUUCGAGAGAGGUAAGUGGAACUGCGAGUGUAGAGGUGAAAUUCGUAGAUAUUCGCAAGAACACCAGUGGCGAAGGCGGCUUACUGGCUCGAAACUGACGCUGAGGCGCGAAAGCGUGGGGAGCAAACAGGAUUAGAUACCCCCGUAGUCCCUGUCUCUUAUACA
rnacentral:rRNA from 1 species